rnacentral:rRNA from 1 species
GUGUCAGCCGCCGCGGUAAUACGAAGGGUGCAAGCGUUAAUCGGAAUUACUGGGCGUAAAGGGUGCGUAGGCGGCUGGCUAAGCCGGAUGUGAAAGCCCUGGGCUCAACCUGGGAAUGGCAUCCGGGACUGGUCGGCUGGAGUGCGGUAGAGGGUGGUGGAAUUCCCGGUGUAGCGGUGAAAUGCGUAGAGAUCGGGAGGAACAUCGAUGGCGAAGGCAGCCACCUGGACCAGCACUGACGCUGAGGCACGAAAGCGUGGGGAGCAAACAGGAUUAGAAACCCCUGUAGUCC